UUUAAUGAGGGUACAUGUUAAAGCUGGCAGGACUGAGAAGGUUUUGCAAGUGUAUAAUCAAAUGAAGAGGAUGGGAUGUUCUCCUGAUACGAUAACAUAUAAUUUUAUUAUACAGACUCAUUGCAGAGAAGAUAAUCUUGAGGAAGCUUUGAAGGUGCUUAAUUCAAUGGUUAAGAAAGGGUGUAGGCCAAAUGCUUCUACUUUUAAUACUUUAUUUGAAUGCAUUGCCAAGUUGGGUGAUGUGAAUGGUGCACACAGAAUGUAUGCUAAGAUGAAGGAGUUGAAGUGUAAGCCCAAUACUGUGACAUACAAUAUCCUAAUGCGAAUGUUUGCUGACUCAAAAUCGACUGACAUGGUUCUGAAGCUGAAGAAGGAAAUGGAUGAGAAUGAUGUUGAACCUAAUGUGAAUACCUACUGUGUUUUGAUUUCAAUGUAUUGUGGAAUGGGGCACUGGAAUAAUGCAUACAAGUUCUUCAGGGAGAUGAUUGAAGAGAAAUGCAUGAAACCAAGUCUGCCAGUUUAUGAGAUGGUCCUGCAGCAACUUAGAAAAGCAGGGCAGUUAAAGAAGCAUGAAGAAUUGGUGGAAGUUAUGGUUGACAGAGGAUUUAUUAGUCGUCCUUUGUAGAAGAAGUUAUGCCUUCUUCACCCAUAAGCUAAAUUAGGCGAUCUUUGUUUCUUUUUGUAGCUUAAUAUUUCUCGUUUAAGGUGUACAUAUUCAUGUUUUGGUGAUUCUAAAGGUUAAGGCUGUAAACUAGAAACAUUGUCCUUUUUCAUCAUGUAGAAGAGGGUUUUAAAUUUAUUCAAUUCGAGAAUGACUAGCUAUGCAUUGAUUAUGAAUAAA
rnacentral:misc_RNA from 1 species